ACCUGGUUGAUUCUGCCAGUAGUCAUAUGCUUGUCUCAAAGAUUAAGCCAUGCAGUUGGAUUACUGGAGUG
rnacentral:rRNA from 1 species